GACGAACGCUGGCGGCGUGCUUAACACAUGCAAGUCGAACGGAAAGGCCCUGCUUUUGUGGGGUGCUCGAGUGGCGAACGGGUGAGUAACACGUGAGUAACCUGCCCUUGACUUUGGGAUAACUUCAGGAAACUGGGGCUAAUACCGGAUAGGAGCUCCUGCUGCAUGGUGGGGGUUGGAAAGUUUCGGCGGUUGGGGAUGGACUCGCGGCUUAUCAGCUUGUUGGUGGGGUAGUGGCUUACCAAGGCUUUGACGGGUAGCCGGCCUGAGAGGGUGACUGGCGACAUUGGGACUGAGGUACGGCCCAGACUCCUACGGGAGGCAGCAGUGGGGAAUAUUGCACAAUGGGCGGAAGCCUGAGGCAGCAACGCCGCGUGCGGGAUGACGGCCUUCGGGUUGUAAACCGCUUUCGCCUGUGACGAGGCGUGAGUGACGGUAAUGGGUGAAGAAGCACCGGCUAACUACGUG
rnacentral:rRNA from 1 species